AGAGGUGAAAUUCUUGGAUUUAUGGAAGACGAACUACUGCGAAAGCAUUUACCAAGGAUGUUUUCAUUAAUCAAGAACGAAAGUUAGGGGAUCGAAGAUGAUUAGAUACCAUCGUAGUCUUAACCAUAAACUAUGCCGACUAGGGAUGAGUGAACGUUGAUAUUCGACUUCAUUCGCACCUUAUGAGAAAUCAAAGUCUUUGGGUUC
rnacentral:rRNA from 18 species